GGCGGCAUAGCCAAGUGGUAAGGCAGGAGUCUGCAAAACUCUUAUCCCCCAGUUCGAAUCUGGGUGCCGCCUCCA
rnacentral:tRNA from 1 species